CCCUUAGAUGUUCUGGGCCGCACGCGCGCUACACUGAUGCAUUCAGCGAGUCUAAAACCUGGUCUGAUAGGGCUGGGUAAUCUUUUGAAUGUGCAUCGUGAUUGGGAUAGAUGAUUGCAAUUCUUCAUCUUCAACAAGGAAUGCCUAGUAAACGCAAGUCAUCAGCUUGCAUUGAUUACGUCCCUGCCCUUUGUACACACCGCCCGUCGCUCCUACCGAUUGAAUGUUCCGAUGAAUACCAUGGACUGAGAGUAUGAAUGGGUUCGCCUAUUUCUGCUUCUCGGGAAGUGGAGUAAAUCUUAACAUUUAGAGGAAGGAGAAGUCGUAACA
rnacentral:rRNA from 1 species